rnacentral:rRNA from 1 species
UUCACUGAUAUUUUGACCCUGGCUGAGGACGAUCGCUCGCUUAGAGCGUAACACAUGCCACUAGACCGGUAAAGCCCUCCGGUGUGGGUCGGUGCCGAUGCGGUUAGAAUCCCGUGCGGUAUUGGCCGUGCACGCUGGUACAAGCCCUGGAGUCAGGGUCUAAUAC